GACGAACGCUGGUGGCGUGCUUAACACAUGCAAGUCGAACGGAAAGGCCCUGCUUUUGUGGGGUGCUCGAGUGGCGAACGGGUGAGUAACACGUGAGUAACCUGCCCUUGACUUUGGGACAACUUCAGGAAACUGGGGCUAAUACCGGAUAGGAGCUCCUGCUGCAUGGUGGGGGUUGGAAAGUUUCGGCGGUUGGGGAUGGACUCGCGGCUUAUCAGCUUGUUGGUGGGGUAGUGGCUUACCAAGGCUUUGACGGGUAGCCGGCCUGAGAGGGUGACCGGCCACAUUGGGACUGAGAUACGGCCCAGACUCCUACGGGAGGCAGCAGUGGGGAAUAUUGCACAAUGGGCGGAAGCCUGAUGCAGCAACGCCGCGUGCGGGAUGACGGCCUUCGGGUUGUAAACCGCUUUCGCCUGUGACGAAGCGUGAGUGACGGUAAUGGGUAAAGAAGCACCGGCUAACUACGUGCCAGCAGCCGCGGUGAUACGUAGGGUGCGAGCGUUGUCCGGAUUUAUUGGGCGUAAAGGGCUCGUAGGUGGUUGAUCGCGUCGGAAGUGUAAUCUUGGGGCUUAACCCUGAGCGUGCUUUCGAUACGGGUUGACUUGAGGAAGGUAGGGGAGAAUGGAAUUCCUGGUGGAGCGGUGGAAUGCGCAGAUAUCAGGAGGAACACCAGUGGCGAAGGCGGUUCUCUGGGCCUUUCCUGACGCUGAGGAGCGAAAGCGUGGGGAGCGAACAGGCUUAGAUACCCUGGUAGUCCACGCUGUAAACGGUGGGUACUAGGUGUGGGGUCCAUUCCACGGGUUCCGUGCCGUAGCUAACGCUUUAAGUACCCCGCCUGGGGAGUACGGCCGCAAGGCUAAAACUCAAAGGAAUUGACGGGGCCCCGCACAAGCGGCGGAGCAUGCGGAUUAAUUCGAUGCAACGCGUAGAACCUUACCUGGGUUUGACAUGGAUCGGGAGCGCUCAGAGAUGGGUGUGCCUCUUUUGGGGUCGGUUCACAGGUGGUGCAUGGCUGUCGUCAGCUCGUGUCGUGAGAUGUUGGGUUAAGUCCCGCAACGAGCGCAACCCUUGUUCACUGUUGCCAGCACGUUAUGGUGGGGACUCAGUGGAGACCGCCGGGGUCAACUCGGAGGAAGGUGGGGAUGACGUCAAGUCAUCAUGCCCCUUAUGUCCAGGGCUUCACGCAUGCUACAAUGGCUGGUACAGAGAGUGGCGAGCCUGUGAGGGUGAGCGAAUCUCGGAAAGCCGGUCUCAGUUCGGAUUGGGGUCUGCAACUCGACCUCAUGAAGUCGGAGUCGCUAGUAAUCGCAGAUCAGCAACGCUGCGGUGAAUACGUUCCCGGG
rnacentral:rRNA from 1 species